rnacentral:rRNA from 1 species
ACGGGAGGCAGCAGUGGGGAAUAUUGGGCAAUGGGCGAAAGCCUGACCCAGCAACGCCGCGUGAAGGAAGAAGGCCUUCGGGUUGUAAACUUCUUUUACCAGGGACGAAGGACGUGACGGUACCUGGAGAAAAAGCCACGGCUAACUACGUGCCAGCAGCCGCGGUAAUACGUAGGUGGCAAGCGUUGUCCGGAUUUACUGGGUGUAAAGGGCGUGUAGGCGGAACUGCAAGUCAGAUGUGAAAUCCCGGGGCUCAACCCCGGAACUGCAUUUGAAACUGUAGUCCUUGAGUAUCGGAGAGGCAAGCGGAAUUCCUAGUGUAGCGGUGAAAUGCGUAGAUAUUAGGAGGAACACCAGUGGCGAAGGCGGCUUUCUGGACUGUAACUGACACUGAGGCUCGAAAGCGUGGGGAGCGAACAGGAUUAGAUACCCUGGUA